UACGUAGGGUGCAAGCGUUGCUCGGAAUUACUGGGCGUAAAGGGCGCGUAGGCGGUCUGUUAAGUUCGGUGUGAAAGCCCCCGGCUCACCUGGGGAACUGCGCCGGAAACCGACAGACUCGAGUACCGGAGAGGAGGGUGGAAUUCCUGGUGUAGCGGUGAAAUGCGUAGAUAUCAGGAGGAACACCGGUGGCGAAGGCGGCCCUCUGGACGGAUACUGACGCUGAGGCGCGAAAGCGUGGGGAGCGAACAGG
rnacentral:rRNA from 1 species